UUGGAGGGCAAGUCUGGUGCCAGCAGCCGCGGUAAUUCCAGCUCCAAUAGCGUAUAUUAAAGUUGUUGCAGUUAAAGAGCUCGUAGUUGAAUUUCGGGGUUCUACCGUUGGUCGGGCUUUGUCUGUACUGGUGUGUAGAAUUUCUACCUUCUGGGGAACCAUCAUGCUAUUAAUUUAGCGUGGUGGGAAACCAGGACCUUUACCUUGAAAAAAUUAGUGUGUUCAAAGCAGGCUUAUGUCUGAAUACAUUAGCGUGGAAUAAUAGAAUAGGACGGUGGUCCUGUUUUGUUGGUUUCUGAAUCACCGUAAUGAUUAAUAGGGAUAGUUGGGGGCAUUAGUAUUCAAUUGUCAGAGGUGAAAUUCUUGGAUUUAUUGAAGACUAACUUCUGCGAAAGCAUUUGCCAAGGAUGUUUUCAUUAAUCAAGAACGAAAGUUAGGGGAUCGAAGACGAUCAGAUACCGUCGUAGUCUUAACCAUAAACUAUGCCGACUAGGGAUCGGACGAUGUUAAUUUUUCUUGACUCGUUCGGCGCCUUACGGGAAAC
rnacentral:rRNA from 1 species